GUUGAUGAAAAAAAAAUCAUACCCACUGCACAGAUGAGAAAAACAGGAGCGUUUUCAGGUUAUACAAGUCGACGCCUGGCGCCCGGCGUGACGUGAAACGCUCUAAGUUGCUGGAGCUGGAUACCAGUACUGUGAAGAAGCCCAAGCUAGCCUUAUGGAAAGACCACAUAGAGGAGAAUUGAAGAACCCAGCCAAAAUCCAGAAUCAGGUCCAUAGAGAUAUGACCUCAAUCAAGCCAUCUUAGCCAGCUCUAGUUAAAAGAAAUUCCCAGCUGAAGCCGCAGACAUUGGAGCAGUGAUACUCUACAUUCUAUCACCAAGAGAGAUCUGUUCGGGGAUAUAUCAUCUGGACCCUGGUAGAAUGGUUUUUACCAAUCAGAGUUGUGUCAUCAACCUAUAUGAAGAUAGUAUUUAAAAAGUAAUUGUGGCAGUGAUGGCUGUAUUUACUGUACCGAUGUUGAAGAUAUCACUUAAUACAGAUUAAUUGUGCACACUUUCUGAAAAAUCACAGGAGACAUUUGUUCUGUUCUCAGAGAAUAUUAUAAUUCUCACAGCGACUGAUCUGUUUAGUUGAUGGGUACUGUAAAUUAUGAUAAUGCUCAUUUUCUCUCUUGCUUUGGCUUUCAGAAAGACCACAGCCAACUUUCUAGCCCAACUCUGAACUCCUCCUUAAGACAUUAAAGUUAUAUGAGCCUACCUUAUCCUUUCUUUUAUUGAAUUUGAAAAUCUGUAUGUUAAUUUUUCUUACUAUAAAUGUAAUACAUCUUUAGUGAGCAAAUUUAGGAAAGUAUACAAAUGGAUAAAUCAUGAUAUAAUUCGAUUUCCUUAAUUUUUUAUUUUAAUUUCUAUUUAUUUCACAUAUUAAAUCUACUCUUAAGCUAGACUAAAUAUUUUCUGAAACAAGGCAAAAUAUAGCAUUCUGAUGUCUAUAAUUUAUUGACCAGAGUGUUACAGAAUGCUUUGUUCAUUAAAAGAACAUUAUAAUUGUCUCUAUUUAUGGCUAUAUAUGUGAGGAUCCAAAAUAGUGCACCCACCUGUUCUAAGGGGAGUAAGGUCUGUGUAGUUGGCCCAACAGCUGCUAAACGGAAUUGUUGUAUUUCCACUAAGGCCAUUGACUUGGUUAUUAUUGGAGUCCUUGAGUAUGGCCCUCAAAGUUAGUGCAGUAAUUCCAACUGAUACACAGUUACCCUAAAAAAAAAAAAAGUAGAUAAUUAUAACAAUUGUCCUGUUUCCAUGCUUUUAAAAAUAUAUGCAAAACUUUAUUUUUAAAAAUGCCUCAUUAUAAAUUGAAAAUCUGCAGAAGCUCCUUAUUCCACACAAAGAGUUCAUAAACCUGAGCAGCAGCAGUUCGUUUAACAUAAACAUUUUUAAGACAUUACAAGAUGGUAUCCUUGGAUAUUAGUCCAACUUCUAAAAGGGCCGUGUGAUCCUCAGGCUGCCAGCACACCAGGAUGAGUGAAACUGGCUCAUCCUUCAGAAUUUGUAGCUUAAUUCCUUCACUUAAGUAAAAUUUUGAGUUAUGACUUACGUCAGAAUCUGUUGCCUUUACCGAAGGCUGCUGAGGAAAUGGCUGUCCUGGCUGUGCUGCCACCGGCUGAGUGAUCACUAAGAGUGAGGACACGAAGGCCACGUGAUGAACAGGAAAUGCAGACCUUUCAACUGGCUGGGCAGUCACCUGUGAAUGCACAAGGGAUGAACUGGUUUCUUCAUGAUAAACUACACUCAGCAGCAAACUCAUUUUAGCCAGGCUGAGUAUAAAAUAUUCAUUAUUUAUUUUGGAAUAUGUUCAAUAUGUAAAAUUAAUAUAAUUACAAUAUUUCCUCCAUUAAAUUUAUGAAGCAUUGUUAUAAAUAUGCAAAGCAAAGCAAAUUUGUAACCAAUACACAACUUUUGGAAGAUAUGCUCCUUUGUUCAAACAACUUUAUUAUCAUUUUAGCGAGCCUAUAAAAAGUCAACAAUAAAUAAGAAAAACAUGCCUGCUAAAUUAUUGUUUUGAAAUAGAAACAGAGAGUUAAAAUAAGAAAUAAGUAAUGAUAUUUUAAGUCCCCAAAAAUGCAUUUUUUCUAGGUGCAUUUUCUUACCUUAAUCCACCCAGAGUCACUUGGGCUGGGGAGGGGAUUAGUAAUAGACAUGGACGAAAUGUUAAAUCCAAGGAUACUACUGAUGUUUCCUAAAAUUACAGCUUGUCCAAGAGAACCAGCAAUUUCCUGGAGUUCAGAUAAUUGCAUCUGACCUAUAGGGAAAAGUAUUAUGACAUUUGGAUUAUAAAAGUAUAGAAUUGUGAGAACACAUGAGAGUUUUCACUUUAGCUUUCUUUGCAUUGCUCCAUCACAUUAUAGAAUUCUAAGGCUUUCUAGUCUUACCUGAGCAAAACACAGCAGUCACAUUAAUGAGGGGAGGAAAAGGAAGAACUCAGGAGAAUAUAUUUUAAGUUGGAAUUAAAGGAAAAACAAAGGUAGAUAAAACAGAUACAAGAAAAACGAAUGAAAACAUAGUGGGAGAAUAUAUGUCUCUUAAUUUAAUACUUUCUCCUACCAAACUUUGUUUACCAAUGAAGCAUUAUCAUGCAUUUCUAUUAUCAUGUGUCAUUUUAAAAAAUAAAGUGUUAAUUUUGGAAU